GGCUUGUCGAAGUGAAGUAGUGUUUACAACUAAUUUACCACAACCAGUAACAAAUUUUUUUGUUCUUUCUGCACUCCCACUGCGUCACUUGACUAGAUAAAA
rnacentral:Y_RNA from 1 species